rnacentral:rRNA from 1 species
UAGGGAAUCUUGCGCAAUGGGCGAAAGCCUGACGCAGCCAUGCCGCGUGAAUGAUGAAGGUCUUAGGAUUGUAAAAUUCUUUCACCGGGGAAGAUAAUGACGGUACCCGGAGAAGAAGCCCCGGCUAACUUCGUGCCAGCAGCCGCGGUAAUACGAAGGGGGCUAGCGUUGCUCGGAAUUACUGGGCGUAAAGGGCGCGUAGGCGGAUAUUUAAGUUGGGGGUGAAAGCCCGGGGCUCAACCUCGGAAUAGCCUUCAAUACUGGAUAUCUUGAGUUCGGGAGAGGUGAGUGGAAUGCCGAGUGUAGAGGUGAAAUUCGUAGAUAUUCGGCGGAACACCAGUGGCGAAGGCGACUCACUGGCCCGAUACUGACGCUGAGGCGCGAAAGCGUGGGGAGCAAACAGGAUUAGAUACCCUGGUAGUCCACGCCGUAAAACGAUGAGUGCUAGUUGUCGGCAUGCAUGCAUGUCGGUGACGCAGCUAACGCAUUAAGCACUCCGCCUGGGGAGUCGGUCGCAAGAUUAAAAACUCAAAGGAAUUGACGGGGGUCAUAGCUGUUUCCUG